rnacentral:rRNA from 1 species
UACGUAGGGUGCAAGCGUUGUCCGGAAUUAUUGGGCGUAAAGGGCUCGUAGGCGGUCCGUCACGUCGGGGGUGAAAACUUGGGGCUUAACCCCAAGCCUGCUUCCGAUACGGGCGGACUAGAGGUAGGCAGGGGAGAACGGAAUUCCUGGUGUAGCGGUGAAAUGCGCAGAUAUUAGGAGGAACACCUGUGGCGAAAGCGAGUUACUGGUUCAUUACUGACACUGAGGAACGAAAGCUAGGGUAGCAAAAGGG